rnacentral:rRNA from 1 species
GCAUAUCAAUAAGCGGAGAAGCGGAUUCCUUAGUACGGCGAGUGAAGCGGUAAAAGCUCAAAUUUGAAAUCUGGUACUUUCAGUGCCCGAGUUGUAAUUUGUAGAAUUUGUCUUUGAUUAGGUCCUUGUCUAUGUUCCUUGGAACAGGACGUCAUAGAGGGUGAGAAUCCCGUUUGGCGAGGAUACCUUUUCUCUGUAAGACUUUUUCGAAGAGUCGAGUUGUUUGGGAAUGCAGCUCAAAGUGGGUGGUAAAUUCCAUCUAAAGCUAAAUAUUGGCGAGAGACCGAUAGCGAACAAGUACAGUGAUGGAAAGAUGAAAAGAACUUUGAAAAGAGAGUGAAAAAGUACGUGAAAUUGUUGAAAGGGAAGGGCAUUUGAUCAGACAUGGUGUUUUUUGCAUGCACUCGCCUCUCGUGGGCUUGGGCCUCUCAAAAAUUUCACUGGGCCAACAUCAAUUCUGGCAGCAGGAUAAAUCAUUAAGAAUGUAGCUACUUCGGUAGUGUUAUAGCUUUUUGGAAUACUGUUAGCCGGGAUUGAGGACUGCGCUUCGGCAAGGAUGUUGGCAUAAUGGUUGGGUGCCAGACCGCCUUCACAUGUAGGAAACUACGACAAAA